rnacentral:pre_miRNA from 1 species
UCUUCAUUUCGCACACUCUCUCGCGUCUCUGACCGGUGAGUGAGUGUGUAAAAUGAAGAGA